AGUAAGCAUAGAUUAAGCUCCUUAGAAAGUGAGAAUCUGAGCCUCAGGACCAGACAGAAGAGAAGCAUGGAAAUUGUAAACGGCAUAUUUUCUUCCACUGUGGUUUAUUUUCACCUCUGCAGCUCCUUCACCCAGAUAGCUUAAAGCUUUGGAGUCUAAAUGGAACAGAAAGCAGAAGACUUUACAAAUGAGACCUCGAAUUAGCCUACAGCUGAGCCAGGCUGCGGGUCUUGGCUUUCAGCGGAUGUCCACGUUCCAGACCUAUGGAGAAAGCAGAGUGGACACAGCCUUGGCAGUGGCUCUCAGGCCAGAGCAAGACAGCUCAGGAAGUGACCUCGGAGGUCUGUCACCAGGCACACCCUUAGAGCUCUUCUUCUCGGAGACAAAGUCCUACCCCUGCAGAGGAUGAGCAUUCACGACCCUGUCAUGGGAUGAAGACCAGGCCCCUCCCAGACAUGGAACCUUCUGACGCAUUGAUCUGACUUCCCAACCUCUACAGCUGCGAGUGAUGGAGAGAGGGAAAUAGUUGAAGAGAAGACACCCAAGGAAGAGGCCUAUCUUAAGGUAGAGAAAAGUUUUUUCCUCCCUGCACCCCUUGAAAUGUAUCCACACUUUCCUGGACUCACGGGCAUGUCACCAGAGCACCACAGGGAGCAGCAACACAGCCCUGCAGCACUAUCAAUUGCUUCACACCCGAUUCUUUGGUGCCCUCGAAGUGACUGACUCAGCUGGAAGGAAAGCCUGUGCCCACGUUCCCAGUUCCCAAGCAUCGCUUCUUCGCAGACUUCCGGUGAGGCCCCAUCCGACCUGAACAGGGAGAGGGCUGCCCGACUCUCUAGUCUCUUGGCAAGAUCAGGCAGGAGAGGCUCUGCUAGUUAAGUCCACCUAGGACUCGACUUCUUCCCCGUCUGCUCUGCUUGGUGACGAUGGCAUCGUCCUGGGUGGCCCCACUCUGGGGCAGUGGCAUCUGCAGCAGUCCCUCCUGAGCUUCAUUCUUCUCCAUCAGAGUGGCACAUAAUUAUUCCUGCCACGCACCAGGAAAGCCUGCGUUCACCCACUGCAAUGCUGCAGGCCACAGCCCAGCUCCCUUGCACCUGGCAAGUGUGCAGCUGUGUGCUCUUCCUGGGGAUAGUGCUGAUCAGCUCAAGCUCAGCUCCAACCACGUUCCAAGCCACAUAACUACAUAUCUGCACUAACCUGGGAAGACCGAGGCUCAGUCUCGGUCUGCUCUGAUAGGCACUCAGGGACCUUGUCCACAGAGAUCCCUCACAACUGCAUAAAAAGAGAAGCACUCAGUCCAAACAUCUUGGUGGCAUCGGCACCGUGACCCCAAGCAUGCCAGACUCAGUGUCAAGGGUGAACAGGGAGAGCUGGGACUUAGUCUCAAAGAAGCAGAAUGGGUGAGGCUGAGUUGACAGUGGAAACGUUCCACACCUAGAGACACCUACAGAAAACACUGAGUCACACAGACUCCUACAAAGACCUAGGACUCGGGAUUCACGUAUCGAAGUAAGCGGAGGAGACAUUGUGGCAAGAACAGAAAGCUUGGAGCGUAUAGGACAGGGAGACCCCAAGACCCUGGUUACUGCUCGUGGGCCAUCAACUACUGUUCCCUGAGUCCAGAAGAAACAGAAGGUGGCCCUCUAGAGAAACUGAAACAGGAACUCUCUAAGCUCUGGGACACCAGGUGGCACAACGUUAUGAAGAGAGGAAAUCUGCCACUGAAAAGUGGAACCCUCAGGUCCCUUCUGCCACUGGGCUCCCAGGGUGCUGGGGGCCAGGCUUGUGACCCCAGGCCAGGGACUCUUACCUGGAGAAGGACCUAGAGAUACCACAUCUCCAGGGUUUCAACCCCCAAGGGACUCUCUCUUCAGCGAGGUCCACCAUCCAUGCCACAAGAGUUUUAAACACAUUUUCUCAUUUCCCGUGGUCCUGAUGCUCAUCUCUGGAGCCCUGCUGACGCUUCUCUUGGCCCCUCUGAGUCUCGUCUGGUGUUUGCCACGUGACAGCCCUGCCUCCUGUUCUGGGGACCUCUUCCCUCAUGGCAGUCAUGCCCAUGUCUACGAGAAUUACCACUGAUUAAAGAAAACCCUGCGAACAUUUAAACGUGGGGCUUCCAAAGGAACUUUAGAACUUUCUUUAUAUGGAAAACUUAAACAUACAUGUACAGCUAAAUUCUCACCUCAUUAGGGGUUAUGAAGCUAGAAUUGGUGUAUAACGUGAAAAAUUGUUUUUAAAUUUACACUUAAUUUAGCUAUAUUUGUAAUAUUUUGUUUAAGAAACAAAUAUGACAAAAAUUUGCUGUUUUA